AGCCCUUUAAAAUGUUCAUAUUGCCCUCUUUUAUUGUUGUAACCUUAGGGCAACACAUAUUCAUUUGUUUUCAUUUUAGUCCCUUAACCAAUUUUUAGUUUUUGCCUAAAUAGUCCCUUGUUUUCUGACUUCUGCCUCAAGUUUGAGGCAGAAAUUAUGUUUAAACCCCUCGCUAGAAUGUUUUAGGAGUUGCUACAAGAUUCUUUAGAUUCAAAUACCAUUUACACCCCUGCCCAUUUUCCUAAUCACUGACCUAAGAUUUUUUAAACUUGGUUUCCAUUUGUUUGGUCAAAUCUAACCCUAGUUGAUUGCCUUCAGGAUAUGUGUCAAAAUCUGAAUGUAAACUACAUACUCAAUUAUGUAUAAGUGGCUACUCAAAGAGUUUGAGGAUUAAGCAAUGCUCCUCAUGGAUUCAAGCAAACAAUUAUCACAUCUUCAGGACUAUAUGAAUAUCCAUGAAUAUGUCAAGAUGAACCAACACAAUCAGAAAAGGAAAGCCAAUCGACUAUGCAGGAACAAUGGCCAAACUAUAACACUUAGUAAAACUUAGGAGCAAGAAAUAAAAACCAAGAAAUAAAACAAAGUUGAUAUCAGUAGUUACAAUAUUCAGAAAAGUAAUUUAUCCUAAGACGUGCAGAUACUGAAGAUCAAAAUUACUAGAAAAGAAAUAUGACUAGUAUGAAACUCUUAAAAGAAGACACCUACUUGGAAUCAUGAAAUAAUACAGGUAGGAUCCAAAAAGAUAAGCAUCUAACAAACACAUUCAAACUCUCAGAGGUGAAACAAGUGCAAAAUCAUGAGACAAGGAUCAAUAAAUCAUGCCAAAUUUCAGAGGUGAAACUACUAAAGAGGCAAGAGGCAAAAAUCAACAAGCCAUGUAAAAUUUCAGAGGUUAAACUACUGAAGAGUCAAGGGGCAAAGAUCAACAAGCCAUGUAAAAUUUCUUAGGUGAAACUACUGAAGAGUCAAGAGGCAAGAAUGAGCAUGAUAUCAACCCACUCAAAAAAUUAUAGACAAUGAAUUCAAACCAGUGAAACCAAAAGGAACAAAAGCAUAUAGCAAGCAAAGAAGAC
rnacentral:lncRNA from 1 species